GGCAGGCACUAGCCUAGCUGCUAUCGAAGCACUGUGACUCGUGGGUCCCCUGCUGGGCCUCAGGGAUAAAUUUGGUUACAGACACCA